rnacentral:rRNA from 1 species
UUGAACGCUGGCGGUAUGCUUAACACAUGCAAGUCGAACGGGGGUAGUAAUACCCUAGUGGCGGACGGGUGAGUAAUGCAUGGGAAUCUGCCUGCUAGUGGGGGACAACGCGGGGAAACUCGCGCUAAUACCGCAUACGCCCUACGGGGGCAAGAGGGGGAUCUUCGUACCUCUUGCUAUCAGAUGAGCCCAUGUCGGAUUAGCUAGUUGGUAGGUUAAAGGCCUACCAAGGCGACGAUCCGUAGCUGGUCUGAGAGGACGAUCAGCCACACUGGGACUGAGACACGGCCCAGACUCCUACGGGAGGCAGCAGUGGGGAAUAUUGGACAAUGGGGGCAACCCUGAUCCAGCAAUGCCGCGUGUGGGAAGAAGGCCUGCGGGUUGUAAAGCACUUUCAGUUGGAAAGAAAAGCCUGAGGCUAAUAUCCUUGGGUCUUGACGUUACCAACAGAAGAAGCACCGGCUAACUCCGU